GAUGAACGCUGGCGGCGUGCCUAAUACAUGCAAGUCGAGCGAACGGACGAGAAGCUUGCUUCUCUGAUAUUAGCGGCGGACGGGUGAGUAACACGUGGAUAACCUACCUAUAAGACUGGGAUAACUUCGGGAAACCGUAGCUAAUACCGGAUAAUAUUUUGAACCGCAUGGUUCAAAAGUGAAAGACGGUCUUGCUGUCACUUAUAGAUGGAUCCGCGCUGCAUUAGCUAGUUGGUAAGGUAACGGCUUACCAAGGCAACGAUGCAUAGCCGACCUGAGAGGGUGAUCGGACACACUGGAACUGAGACACGGUCCAGACUCCUACGGGAGGCAGCAGUAGGGAAUCUUCCGCAAUGGGCGAAAGCCUGACGGAGCAACGCCGCGUGAGUGAUGAAGGUCUUCGGAUCGUAAAACUCUGUUAUUAGGGAAGAACAUAUGUGUAAGUAACUGUGCACAUCUUGACGGUACCUAAUCAGAAAGCCACGGCUAACUACGUG
rnacentral:rRNA from 1 species